AAGUCCCGUAACGAGCGCAACCCCUAUUGAUAGUUGCUAACAUUAAGUUGAGAACUCUAUCAAGACUGCUGUUGAUAAAACGGAGGAAGGUGGGGAUGAUGUCAAGUCAUCAUGGCCUUUAUGCUUAGGGCUACACACGUGCUACAAUGGCCGGUACAAAACGUCGCAAUCUCGUAAGAGGGAGCUAAUCGCAAAAACCGGUCUCAGUUCGGAUUGAAGUCUGCAACUCGACUUCAUGAAGUUGGAAUCGCUAGUAAUCGCAGAUCAGAACGCUGCGGUGAAUACGUUCCCGGGUCUUGUACACACCGCCCGU
rnacentral:rRNA from 1 species